rnacentral:rRNA from 1 species
GACGAACGCUGGCGGCGUGCCUAAUACAUGCAAGUUGAGCGCUGAAGGUUGGUACUUGUACCGACUGGAUGAGCAGCGAACGGGUGAGUAACGCGUGGGGAAUCUGCCUUUGAGCGGGGGACAAAAUUUGGAAACGAAUGCUAAUACCGCAUAAAAACUUUAAACACAAGUUUUAAGUUUGAAAGAUGCAAUUGCAUCACUCAAAGAUGAUCCCGCGUUGUAUUAGCUAGUUGGUGAGGUAAAGGCUCACCAAGGCGAUGAUACAUAGCCGACCUGAGAGGGUGAUCGGCCACAUUGGGACUGAGACACGGCCCAAACUCCUACGGGAGGCAGCAGUAGGGAAUCUUCGGCAAUGGACGAAAGUCUGACCGAGCAACGCCGCGUGAGUGAAGAAGGUUUUCGGAUCGUAAAACUCUGUUGGUAGAGAAGAACGUUGGUGAGAGUGGAAAGCUCAUCAAGUGACGGUAACUACCCAGAAAGGGACGGCUAACUACGUG